rnacentral:miRNA from 1 species
CAAACGCACAUGGGGUUGACG